UAUUAGAGCAGCCGCGGCGGAGCCGUCCCCGACGCCACCUCCUUCGCCGCCGCCACCGCAGUUUCCUACGCCGCUGUCGGGCGUGUGGAGCUGAGGCUACCGGGCGAGCGCCCUGCGCUUAGAGCCGCGCACCCGCCCGCCUGUUCGGCCGCUUCGCUCCGCUCGGUCCUCGGGUCCGCCGGGCGCCUUUGCCUCCGGCCCGGGCGGAGCCGCGAAUCAACUGAGGACAGCGGGGAGGGGGGUCGGGGCUGCGGCCUGCGCGCCGGGCGGGCGCUGGGAGCCGGAGGAGGCCCUCCCUCUGACGGGCGGAGGCCGGCUUGGGAGCCUCCCGCCGCCGCGCCGAUCAGGGCCGCGCCGCGAGAGGGGCGGUUGUCUGGGGGAGGGGGCGCGGGGUGAUUCAGCGCCCGGCGCGGCGGAAGCAGCUGAAAAAAAGGUCCGUCGGCGCCUGGACGCCCGGGGUGGCACGAGCCCGCGGCCCGAGUGCGAGGCGGCGGCGGCGGCGGCGAGGAGGCCGCGGGGACAAGCAGGCGAAGCCGGCCGGGCCCCCGCAGCCAUGGAGAACGCGCACACAAAGACGGUGGAGGAGGUGCUGGGCCACUUCGGCGUCAACGAGAGCACCGGGCUGAGCCUGGAGCAGGUCAAGAAGCUCAAGGAGAGAUGGGGCUCCAACGAGUUACCUGCUGAAGAAGGAAAAACCUUGCUGGAACUUGUGAUUGAGCAGUUUGAAGACUUACUUGUUAGAAUUUUGCUACUGGCAGCAUGUAUAUCUUUUGUUUUGGCUUGGUUUGAAGAAGGUGAAGAAACAAUCACAGCCUUUGUAGAACCCUUUGUAAUUUUACUUAUAUUAGUAGCUAAUGCAAUUGUGGGCGUAUGGCAGGAAAGAAAUGCUGAAAAUGCCAUUGAAGCCCUUAAGGAGUAUGAGCCUGAAAUGGGCAAAGUGUAUCGACAGGACAGAAAGAGUGUACAGCGGAUUAAGGCUAAAGACAUAGUUCCUGGUGAUAUUGUAGAAAUUGCUGUUGGUGACAAAGUUCCUGCUGAUAUAAGAUUAACUUCCAUCAAAUCUACUACCUUAAGAGUUGACCAGUCAAUUCUCACAGGUGAAUCUGUCUCUGUCAUCAAGCACACUGACCCUGUCCCUGAUCCACGUGCCGUCAACCAAGAUAAGAAGAACAUGCUCUUUUCAGGCACAAACAUUGCUGCUGGCAAAGCUAUGGGAGUAGUAGUGGCAACUGGAGUCAACACUGAAAUUGGCAAGAUCCGAGAUGAAAUGGUGGCAACAGAACAGGAGAGAACGCCCCUUCAACAGAAACUAGAUGAGUUUGGGGAACAGCUUUCCAAAGUCAUCUCCCUUAUUUGCAUUGCAGUCUGGAUCAUAAACAUUGGUCACUUUAAUGACCCGGUUCAUGGAGGCUCAUGGAUCAGAGGUGCUAUAUACUACUUUAAAAUUGCAGUGGCCCUUGCUGUGGCAGCCAUUCCUGAAGGUUUACCUGCUGUCAUCACCACUUGCCUGGCUCUUGGGACUCGUAGAAUGGCAAAGAAAAAUGCCAUUGUUCGAAGUCUCCCUUCCGUGGAGACCCUUGGUUGUACUUCUGUUAUCUGCUCGGACAAGACUGGCACACUUACAACAAAUCAGAUGUCAGUCUGCAGGAUGUUCAUUCUGGACAAAGUUGAAGGUGAUACUUGUUCUCUUAAUGAAUUUACAAUAACCGGAUCAACAUAUGCACCUAUUGGAGAAGUACAUAAAGAUGAUAAACCAGUGAAAUGUCAUCAGUAUGAUGGCCUUGUAGAAUUGGCAACAAUUUGUGCUCUUUGCAAUGACUCUGCUCUGGAUUACAAUGAGACAAAAGGUGUGUAUGAAAAAGUUGGAGAAGCUACAGAAACUGCUCUCACUUGCCUGGUAGAGAAGAUGAAUGUAUUCGACACUGAGUUGAAGGGUCUCUCUAAAAUAGAACGAGCAAAUGCUUGCAACUCGGUUAUUAAACAGUUGAUGAAAAAAGAAUUUACUCUAGAGUUUUCACGGGAUAGAAAAUCCAUGUCAGUUUACUGUACACCAAACAAGCCAAGCCGGACGUCAAUGAGCAAGAUGUUUGUAAAGGGGGCUCCUGAAGGUGUUAUUGACAGAUGCACUCACAUUCGAGUUGGAAGUACUAAAGUCCCUCUGACCCCUGGAGUCAAACAGAAGAUCAUGUCUGUCAUCCGGGAAUGGGGCAGUGGCAGCGACACACUGCGGUGCCUGGCACUGGCCACUCAUGACAAUCCACUGAAAAGAGAAGAAAUGAACCUUGAGGAGUCUGCCAACUUCAUUAAAUAUGAGACCAAUCUGACUUUUGUUGGUUGCGUGGGCAUGCUGGACCCUCCGAGAACUGAAGUGGCCUCUUCUGUGAAGCUGUGCCGGCAAGCAGGUAUCCGUGUCAUCAUGAUCACAGGCGACAACAAGGGCACUGCAGUGGCCAUCUGCCGGCGCGUUGGCAUUUUUGGGCUUGAUGAGGAUGUGGCAUCAAAAGCAUUUACAGGUCGCGAGUUUGAUGAGCUCAGUCCUUCAGCCCAGAGAGAUGCCUGCUUGAAUGCCCGCUGUUUUGCUCGAGUUGAACCUUCCCACAAGUCUAAAAUUGUAGAAUUUCUUCAGUCUUUUGAUGAAAUUACAGCCAUGACUGGGGAUGGUGUGAAUGAUGCUCCUGCUUUGAAGAAAUCUGAGAUUGGCAUUGCCAUGGGUUCUGGCACUGCUGUAGCUAAAACUGCCUCUGAGAUGGUCCUGGCUGAUGACAACUUCUCCACCAUCGUGGCUGCUGUGGAGGAGGGGCGGGCAAUAUACAAUAACAUGAAGCAGUUCAUCCGCUACCUCAUUUCAUCAAACGUUGGGGAAGUUGUCUGUAUUUUCCUGACAGCAGCCCUUGGAUUUCCUGAGGCUUUAAUUCCUGUCCAGUUGCUCUGGGUCAAUUUGGUGACAGAUGGCCUGCCUGCCACAGCACUAGGGUUCAACCCUCCCGACCUAGACAUCAUGAACAAACCACCCCGAAACCCAAAGGAACCGCUGAUUAGUGGGUGGCUCUUUUUCCGUUACCUGGCUAUUGGCUGUUACGUUGGCGCUGCUACCGUGGGUGCUGCCGCAUGGUGGUUCAUUGCUGCAGAUGGUGGUCCGAGAGUGUCCUUCUACCAGCUGAGUCAUUUCCUACAGUGUAAAGAGGAUAAUCUGGACUUUGAAGGAGUGGAUUGUGCAAUAUUUGAAUCCCCAUACCCAAUGACAAUGGCGCUGUCUGUUCUAGUAACCAUAGAGAUGUGCAACGCCCUGAACAGCUUGUCCGAAAACCAGUCUUUGCUGAGGAUGCCUCCUUGGGAGAAUAUCUGGCUCGUGGGCUCCAUCUGUCUGUCUAUGUCACUCCACUUCCUAAUUCUCUACGUGGAGCCCUUGCCUCUUAUCUUCCAGAUCACACCGCUGAAUCUGACCCAGUGGCUGAUGGUGCUGAAAAUUUCCUUGCCGGUGAUUCUACUGGAUGAGACGCUCAAGUUUGUGGCCCGCAACUAUCUGGAACAACCUGGUAAAGAGUGUGUGCAGCCUGCCACCAAAUCCUGCUCGUUUUCGGCAUGCACCGAUGGGAUUUCCUGGCCCUUUGUGCUGUUCAUACUGCCCCUGGUGAUCUGGGUCUAUAGCACAGACACUAAUUUUAGUGAUAUGUUCUGGUCUUGACUGACAGUUUUACAUAAAGAAGAUGUUUAACUUAAUCAAUUAAUUUUUUUAUUGUUUAAAGCAACUGUCUUUCUGCUGAAUUUUCACAUGAACAUAAUGGCUGGUGAAGGAGGUUUCAUACUCUAGAUUUUGUUUUGCUUUUUCUGACUCCAGUGGGGAAAGAUUUUCAUUUUUUAUACACAUAAUUAAAGUGUCCAUUGACAUGUACAGAGAACUAACACUAUUUUAUGCAAAUAUUUUUUGUAGAUGAAAAAGCAUGUACAGUGUUCUGUUAAUACUCAUCCUUGUAUAAAAAAAUAGUUGAGCCAGCAGACAUUGUCAGCAAAUUAAUUGGCAGCAGAUUUUAGGAAAUGAAUGUGUGUGGUUUUUUCUAAAACUAAAUAGCAUGUAUUGUGUCUUGCAUGAUCAUCUGGAUUUAAUCUGAGAUCACAGUCUGAUUUUUAUUCAUAAGCCAAUUUUUUCUGCACUGAGCAGAGUACUGCUACCUCAGUCAGUAUUUUUUGGUUUGCCGCUCCCUCACCCUGUUCACCUCCACCCACACCCCACCCAACCUGCUCGGCUGCUUCCCUUGUAGGGUUUUGAUGGUUCUGUUUACAUCAGUCUUAACAAGAGGUAUGCUUGUUCUCGCUUGUGCAGAAAACAUUGUUUCAGAUUCAAUCACCUGGGUUCAUGUCCCCUCAUGUAGUUUUUAAGGUUAUUUAUUUAAAUGUCUAAUGUAUUUUAUUGUAACAGACAUUGUUUUGCCAACAUUGCCUAUUUUGGUGGCACUUCACAAUCUAGUUUAAAAGGAAAAAUAAAACAUUGAAAUGGACAGAGAAAAAUAAGUCUUGUUUUUAACUUUGAAGUGGCUUAGUUUGAACUGUGAUAGAUGUGUCCCCACUGUCUACAUUCCUAGCUCAGACCUUUAGUUUCACUGUGCUCAAGGGGAAAAGGAUCCUGCUCUGCUGCAUAGGUAGUUGUAGGCAUUUCUUAUGUGUAGACACUCAUCUGUGUACAUUUUAUGCAAGUUUCUGCUGGCCUGUUUUAGCCUGGUGUAUAGAGCAAAAGGGCAAGUGCGUGUGUAUGUGUGUGUGUUUUGUAAAAUGUGUAAAUAGCACAUGACCAAAUGAACAUACUGUAUAGAACUAUUUUUAUUUGAAUGUGGCACUAACCACCACCAUUACUAUGAUAAAUGUUUGCGCAUGUUCGUGAUCAGUCUUACCAACAGUGUGUAAGUCAUUAACCGUCCUAACUGUGGUGUUUUUCUCCAAUGCCUCCCAACAUCCAUCAACUAACCAAUACUGGAGUAACCGCUUCCUAAACCAUUUUGCAGAAAUAUAAGGGUGUUCGGUUGCGUGCAUGUGCGUUUUUAGCAACACAUCUACCAACCCUCUGCAUGAUUGAGAUUGGGGGAAAAAGAGAAGUAGGAAAAAGCCCCCAACUUUUGUGUGUAAUGUGGAGGAAACAUGUAUUAUCAGUGGGGUUUUUAGCUUUUAAAUCCAAGUAAUAAUUGCAAAUGUAAAAUUUAGCUUAUUGAAUCAGCCUUUCCAGAGAAUUUUGGUGUCUUUGCUGCAAGAAGAAUAAAGUUCUGAAACCUUAUCUAAGAACUUAGAAGCCAUCAGCCAAGUCUCCAUUUUUCUCUGUGCAAAAUGUCAUAGCUUAUAUAAAUGUUCACUAUUCAAUUGUAAUGCAUGCCUUCUGUUGUAAGUAGCCAGAUUUCUCUACACUGUCAACGAAAAAAAAAAGCGCUUUUUAAUUGGCCCUGUACAGUUUGCUUAUUUAUAAAUUUAUUAAAACACUACAAGUGUUGAAUGGUUAAAGUGUAGGCCUCCAGUUCAUAACUUGUUAUCUUUUGGAUGUGCAAUAGCUAUUUUGCACUGUAUUAAAUGUAACUUAUUUAAUGAAAUCAGAAGCAGUAGACAGAUGUUGGUGCAAUACGAGUAUUGUGAUACAUUUAUCUAAAUAAAAUGCUAAGCGUCAAUUUAUCACAACGCAUGUUUGACUUUAGAUUGUAAAUAGAGAUCAGUUAUCUGUGCUGGUAUCAAGUAUUGCACAGACAUGGUUUCAGGUAAAUAAAUCUAUUCUACAAUAA